GGUUCUAUAGUGUAGUGGUCAUCACUCGAGAUUCUGAUUCACUGUGAUCCUAUUCUCGAAACCCAGGUUCGAACCCUGGUAGGACCU
rnacentral:tRNA from 1 species